UGGGGAAUUGUUCGCAAUGGGCGCAAGCCUGACGACGCAACGCCGCGUGGAGGAUGAAGGUCUUCGGAUUGUAAACUCCUGUUGAUCGGGACGAACAACCAUCGGGAUAACACCCCGGAGGUCUGACGGUACCGAUUGAGGAAGCCCCGGCUAACUCUGUGCCAGCAGCCGCGGUAAUACAGAGGGGGCAAGCGUUGUUCGGAAUUACUGGGCGUAAAGCGCACGUAGGCGGCUUUACAAGUCAGGGGUGAAAGCCCGCGGCUCAACCGCGGAAUUGCCCUUGAGACUGUAUCGCUUGAACACGGGAGAGGUGAGUGGAAUUCCGAGUGUAGAGGUGAAAUUCGUAGAUAUUCGGAAGAACACCAGUGGCGAAGGCGGCUCACUGGACCGUAGUUGACGCUGAGGUGCGAAAGCGUGGGGAGCAAA
rnacentral:rRNA from 1 species